rnacentral:rRNA from 1 species
UAGACCCGAAACCCGGUGAUCUAGCCAUGGGCAGGUUGAAGGUUGGGUAACACUAACUGGAGGACCGAACCGACUAAUGUUGAAAAAUUAGCGGAUGACUUGUGGCUGGGGGUGAAAGGCCAAUCAAACCGGGAGAUAGCUGGUUCUCCCCGAAAGCUAUUUAGGUAGCGCCUCGUGAAUUCAUCUCCGGGGGUAGAGCACUGUUUCGGCAAGGGGGUCAUCCCGACUUACCAACCCGAUGCAAACUGCGAAUACCGGAGAAUGUUAUCACGGGAGACACACGGCGGGUGCUAACGUCCGUCGUGAAGAGGGAAACAACCCAGACCGCCAGCUAAGGUCCCAAAGUCAUGGUUAAGUGGGAAACGAUGUGGGAAGGCCCAGACAGCCAGGAUGUUGGCUUAGAAGCAGCCAUCAUUUAAAGAAAGCGUAAUAGCUCACUGGUCGAGUCGGCCUGCGCGGAAGAUGUAACGGGGCUAAACCAUGCACCGAAGCUGCGGCAGCGACGCUUAUGCGUUGUUGGGUAGGGGAGCGUUCUGUAAGCCUGUGAAGGUGUGCUGUGAGGCAUGCUGGAGGUAUCAGAAGUGCGAAUGCUGACAUAAGUAACGAUAAAGCGGGUGAAAAGCCCGCUCGCCGGAAGACCAAGGGUUCCUGUCCAACGUUAAUCGGGGCAGGGUGAGUCGACCCCUAAGGCGAGGCCGAAAGGCGUAGUCGAUGGGAAACAGGUUAAUAUUCCUGUACUUGGUGUUACUGCGAAGGGGGGACGGAGAAGGCUAUGUUGGCCGGGCGACGGUUGUCCCGGUUUAAGCGUGUAGGCUGGUUUUCCAGGCAAAUCCGGAAAAUCAAGGCUGAGGCGUGAUGACGAGGCACUACGGUGCUGAAGCAACAAAUGCCCUGCUUCCAGGAAAAGCCUCUAAGCAUCAGGUAACAUCAAAUCGUACCCCAAACCGACACAGGUGGUCAGGUAGAGAAUACCAAGGCGCUUGAGAGAACUCGGGUGAAGGAACUAGGCAAAAUGGUGCCGUAACUUCGGGAGAAGGCACGCUGAUAUGUAGGUGAAGUCCCUCGCGGAUGGAGCUGAAAUCAGUCGAAGAUACCAGCUGGCUGCAACUGUUUAUUAAAAACACAGCACUGUGCAAACACGAAAGUGGACGUAUACGGUGUGACGCCUGCCCGGUGCCGGAAGGUUAAUUGAUGGGGUCAGCGCAAGCGAAGCUCUUGAUCGAAGCCCCGGUAAACGGCGGCCGUAACUAUAACGGUCCUAAGGUAGCGAAAUUCCUUGUCGGGUAAGUUCCGACCUGCACGAAUGGCGUAAUGAUGGCCAGGCUGUCUCCACCCGAGACUCAGUGAAAUUGAACUCGCUGUGAAGAUGCAGUGUACCCGCGGCAAGACGGAAAGACCCCGUGAACCUUUACUAUAGCUUGACACUGAACAUUGAGCCUUGAUG